AACUUCACACAGUCACCCGAGGAUGGAAUCAAACCCGCGUCCCUGGUGCUGUGAGGCAGCAGUGCUAACUAGUGAUGUUUAUGAUCUCCACCAAGAAGACCGAUGCGUGACAUUGGUUUAAGUGAGAGGUAGUGCCAACUGAA